rnacentral:rRNA from 1 species
UUAUCUCUGUAGAGUCUGCAUAUCAAUAAGCGGAGGAAAAGAAACUAACAAGGAUUCCCCUAGUAACGGCGAGUGAAGCGGGAAGAGCUCAAAUUUGAAAUCUUCAAGGUUUGACCUUGACGAAUUGUAGUUUAAAGAAGUGUUUUCGGUUAGAGGAGUAGUAAAAGUUCUUUGGAAUAGGACAUCAUAGAGGGUGAGAAUCCCGUAUUUGACUAUUCUUUCUAGCUUUGUGAUACACUUUCAAAGAGUCGGAUUGUUUGGGAAUGCAGUCCAAAAUGGGUGGUAAAUUACAUCUAAAGCUAAAUAUUGGCGAGAGACCGAUAGCGAACAAGUACCGUGAGGGAAAGAUGAAAAGAACUUUGAAAAGAGAGUUAAACAGUACGUGAAAUUGUCAAAAGGGAAGCGUUUGACACCAGUGUUGCUUUUUUCCGAAAAUCAAUUAAAAAUUGAUCCAUGCCAGGUUGUAUUCGACCUUAUCAGCUUGCAAUUUGGUUUUGGGUCUCUUUUUGAUGCACUUUUCGGUUAACAAGUCAACAUCAAUUUCCUUUGCUGUAAAAAGGUAAGAGGAAGGUGGCUUCCAAUUUCGGUUGAAGUGUUUAUAGCCUUUUAUCUCUGCAGUCGGGGAGAUUGAGGUCUGCAGCGUAGAUCCUUCGGGGCUAGAUACAUUUAUGCUAAGUUAUAGCUUUUCAUAGACAACUUGUUGACUAUGUUUCAGUCAUGUAGCUUACUCGUAAGUGCUAUUUUACCUACGCUUAGGAUGUUGAAGACUCUACAGAGAUA